AGUUGUGAGGUAGACACUAAGCGAUUUAUUCUUUUGCCUUUUUACUAAAAAAUAUUGUGUUCUUGUCACUAAAAAUAAUAUACAUUAGUUUUUGAAAGGGCUCCUUUUUACAAAGGAAC